UUCCAGAUCCUUAACCCACUGAGCGAGGCCAGGGAUCGAACCUGUGUCCUCAUGGAUACUAGUUGGGUUUGUAACCCCUGAGCCACAAUGGGAUCUCUCUCUCAUUUGUUGAUACAGAAAUAAGAGCAUCUUUCCUAUCUGCCUCACAGAAUCUUAAAACUUAUUUAUUGAUUUUAAAAUUCUUUUCCCUCCAGUGUAUGCUGUAUCUCAGCCACUGUGCCAGGUACUAGGAAGGCAACACUGAAGAGAAAGUCAGAUGCUGUCUUGGCUGAACUCGUAUUGUGGUUGUGUUCGACCAGAGGGCAGAGACCAUGGCCUAUUCGUGGGUGUAGGGCCCAGUACCCACCUUGAAGGUACUGUGUCAUGGCCUCUCAGCUCACAUUCACCUUGAGUACCUGCUCUGUGAAAUGGGACUGGACCCUAAGCGUUUCUCCUCUAUGGGAUGGUCGCGGUGCAGGUCCGUGAGCACAGUGGUGCUCUGCCCCAGCUGUGAGCCCAGAAUAUGCAGUGUCUCUUGGAGACUGUGCAGGCCCAAGACCACUUCCUGUGGCCCUCCCUUCCCGGUUCUGCACAGUCCAGUCUGCAGUGAUGCCCCGGCUCCCUCUGCCCACCUGUCCACCAGCCUAGCUCACCUGCCCCCUGCAGAGCUGUCUCCUGCACCAGCCACUCAGUAAACUUCUCUACCAUCCAGUGGGCGCCAACCACAUCUGCAAAGAGAUCUGAGGCCCAGCUUUUGGGAUGGGGCUGCCCUUCCAAGUUUGUCUUUUUUUUUUUUUUUUU